rnacentral:rRNA from 1 species
CGGAUGUUUAAGUGGGAUGUGAAAUCCCCGGGCUUAACCUGGGGGCUGCAUUCCAAACUGGAUAUCUAGAGUGCAGGAGAGGAAAGCGGAAUUCCUAGUGUAGCGGUGAAAUGCGUAGAGAUUAGGAAGAACACCAGUGGCGAAGGCGGCUUUCUGGACUGUAACUGACGCUGAGGCACGAAAGCGUGGGUAGCAAACAGGAUUAGAUACCCUGGUAGUCCACGCCGUAAACGAUGGAUACUAGGUGUAGGGGGUAUCAACUCCUCCUGUGCCGCAGUUAACACAAUAAGUAUCCCGCCUGGGGAGUACGGUCGCAAGAUUAAAACUCAAAGGAAUUGACGGGGGCCCGCACAAGCAGCGGAGCAUGUGGUUUAAUUCGAAGCAACGCGAAGAACCUUACCUGGACUUGACAUCCCUUGCAUAGCCUAGAGAUAGGUGAAGCUUCGGGCAAGGAGACAGGUGGUGCAUGGUUGUCGUCAGCUCGUGUCGUGAGAUGUUAGGUUAAGUCCUGCAACGAGCGCAACCCUUGUUAUUAGUUGCUACCAUUAAGUUGAGCACUCUAAUGAGACUGCCUGGGUAACCAGGAGGAAGGUGGGGAUGACGUCAAAUCAUCAUGCCCCUUAUGUCCAGGGCUACACACGUGCUACAAUGGUAGGUACAAUAAGACGCAAGACCGUGAGGUGGAGCAAAACUUAUAA